rnacentral:miRNA from 14 species
GGCUUUCAACGACUAUAUCAAC